GCGGGGGCGGGGGCGGGGCCCGGGCCCUCUGGGCACUGAGACUGUGCCACCGCUGCCUCCUUCCAGGGUGCAGGGUCUGCACGGAGCUGCUCUGUCUGCCUGUGGGCCACAUGCUGCCACUCAUCCGGGCAAAGGAGCUUCUAGCCCCGUGUCUCCAUCAGUCAACCUGGGGUCUGACCUAGCACUCCACAGGGGCCCCCGCACCCAAGGUGGCAGGGCUUGCCUCUCUGGAGGCGGCCAGGAGCCACACUGCAGAAGCUUGGGCCACAGGGGCUCCCCAAACACCCACCCUCUGCCCCGGGCAGUGCUGGCCAUCAACUUAAGGCACCCCAGCUCUUUGACGGGGGUCAGCAGACCCCAGCUCGACGGGGGCCCGCCACGACUGCAGAGGAGGAAAGAGCACAAGUGCGGGGCAGCCUUGGAGGCACUUGCAUCUGAGCCGCCACACCUGCCUAGGGGACAGCCGGACAGUGUGGUGUCACCUGACCGCUGUGUGCCUGCACACCUUCAGCACAAGUGCCAGGUUCGUGCCUCCUCCGGUCGUGCAUUCCGCCAGCCACCGGCAGGGCUGAAAGCCAGCGUUCUGGUGACCAUGCUGGCUGCAGUGCGACACUCGGGCUUGUGCCAUUGGGCGUCAGAACCAGUGUGGCUUUGUGGGGGGAAGCGAUGGCCAUGCUGGGGAGACCGGUGGAGGCCGAGCUGAGGCUCAGCAGGUGGGAGGAAGAGAACGCAGGAAGGCCCAGCCCCCGGCCAGAGACGUGGAGCCUGUCACUCGCAGCAUCCAGACCCACGAAGAGCGGGAGCAGCAGUUUGUAUGAACGCGCACUUGUGAUCCUCAGGGUCUGCCUGAGCGAGCCGAGGCCGACACCCACAGGGCCACUGUCCUGCGAAGGGACCGCCGCCACCUCGCUGCGCCCGCCCAGCGGCCCCGAGCACAGGGCGCCUGGGACACUCCUGCAGCGGGCCUGCCGUCCUCUGGCGGCGCGGGGCUGCCCUUCUGUCUUCACACGUCCACACUGUCGCCAGGCUCUACCCUCCACAGCCCGAGGGGAGGCCUUGAAACCACGCAUUUCGGUACCCUGAUAGAAGACGGGACGGAAACCCAGGAGGGAAGCGAACUCUCAGUCUCUCGAGAGCAGCAAGUUCCUCUGUAAAGGGAAGGCCUGCCCUUCCCUGAGCACACGGUGGCCCGGACACACAGUGCCCGCCCCUCCAGGCCCCUCAGGCGGCUCCCUGCUCCUCUGUGUGCAGAAGUGGGACGUGCAGAGCAAGCGGUGUCCACAGGGCUCGGGGUCACUGCAAUGGAUUUCUGUGUGGGUGGGUUUUUUCCUUAUACAAGCACCGCUUUUUAAGACAAGAAGAAACAGCUUGGGUACGACACAGUUCCAACCAACAUGACAAGGAAACAUUUUUACUGACUGACCUACCUUUUAUAAAGCCUGAGUCAUUUAAUAGGUGGUUCUGUUUCUUCCUGAAAGGUCUCAGUAAUACCUGUUCCUCGUUCUUGGGAAAGUCACUCAAAGUCUUGAGGGAAAACCAAGACUGCACCCAAGAGGGUGCAGGAGCGCCUCUCUGCCCAGGCUGUGCACGGCAGGCCGCGCCGGCAGCCGCUGCCUCAGGGUCUGUCGGCACUGCGGCUGCGUGGAGGCCACGCGCUCUGGGCCUCGCGUGGCGGCUUCACACUGCCGCCCCUCCACCACACGGACCCGCGGGCCCGGGGCUGAGCCUCCUGCCAUGCUGCCUGUCCGCCAGAUGUCCCUGCCGCCCACCCUUACCUCUCCACAGCGAGCCGCAACACACGUCUGCGUUUUAUUUCAUAGGAAGUUGGGAACAGAGUACAAAGAACACAAAACUCAUUCUUGUUUAUGUUUGUAUCACAGCCAAUUGAUUUUAGGAUUUAACCUUAGUAACAACGUUAUCUACUGACUGUUAGGAUUCAAAACCAGUUAAGUGAUAGGAGUUUUCCUAAGUAGUAUUUAUAAAAUAUAAGGUUCCUCAAAGAUUUUCCUCACAGACACAGUUCCAUCAGGGUGACUGUCUCAACCCAGACUCUAGACAACACAUGCUGUGCCUGACUGCUGGGCCCAGGCAGUCCCCAGACAGAAUGGGGACACGGAGACAGUGGCUGCCGCUGCGACACGUCUGUGGAUGAUCCCUGGCGGCAACCAUGCCUACCCCCACCGGCUGUUCAUUCAGGGGGCACGUGCUCAGAGAACGAGCCUGCAUCGCUCUGUGCUGAUGCUAAAAGAGAAUGCUCAUCAGACAGGGCUGCACUCAGACCCCGAGAGCCCGCCCUUGGAAGGCCCAACCCUCGUGGGGGCAGCAGGGGCCCCAGGAAAAGAAGAGCCCGGUCAGCUUGCUGCUCUCUGACAAUUCAAAACUUUUACCAUUUAGUUUGAGGCUCCUUUUUAAAAACAAAAUUUCUGAUCAGGUGUUCGCUAAAACUGAAGUGUUACUUUGUCAAAAUAUUUAUUCCUUUGUGUGACAUGCUAGAUUCCCAUGGAUGUAGCUGAUCAUUUCUACUGUAAAUAUUACCUAACUUUACAUAAACGAUGUCAUAAUAAACUAUUUUUGCAUCACCCUUUGUAUGCUGUGAACAGAGGUUUUGUUUAACGGAAGGACACAAAGCAAAACAAGCAUUUAGGCC
ensembl:lncRNA